rnacentral:rRNA from 1 species
UGGGGAAUUGUUCACAAUGGGCGCAAGCCUGAUGACGCAACGCCGCGUGGGGGAUGAAGGUCUUCGGAUCGUAAACCCCUGUCGAAUGGGACGAAAGACUCGCGAGUGAAUACUUCGCGAGAGUGACGGUACCGUUAAAGGAAGCCACGGCUAACUCUGUGCCAGCAGCCGCGGUAAUACAGAGGUGGCAAGCGUUGUUCGGAAUUACUGGGCGUAAAGGGCGCGUAGGCGGCCCUCUAAGUCAGACGUGAAAUCCCCCGGCUUAACCUGGGAACUGCGUCUGAUACUGGAGGGCUUGAGUAUGGGAGAGGGAUGUAGAAUUCCAGGUGUAGCGGUGAAAUGCGUAGAUAUCUGGAGGAAUACCGGUGGCGAAGGCGGCAUCCUGGACCAUUACUGACGCUGAGGCGCGAAAGCUAGGGG